AACGAACGCUGGCGGCAGGCCUAACACAUGCAAGUCGAACGCCGUAGCAAUACGGAGUGGCAGACGGGUGAGUAACACGUGGGAACGUACCCUUCGGUUCGGAAUAACUCAGGGAAACUUGAGCUAAUACCGGAUACGUCCGAGAGGAGAAAGAUUUAUCGCCGAGGGAUCGGCCCGCGUCUGAUUAGCUUGUUGGUGAGGUAACGGCUCACCAAGGCGACGAUCAGUAGCUGGUCNGAGAGGAUGAUCAGCCACAUUGGGACUGAGACACGGCCCAAACUCCUACGGGAGGCAGCAGUGGGGAAUAUUGGACAAUGGGCGCAAGCCUGAUCCAGCCAUGCCGCGUGAGUGAUGAAGGCCCUAGGGUUGUAAAGCUCUUUUACCCGGGAAGAUAAUGACUGUACCGGGAGAAUAAGCCCCGGCUAACUUCGU
rnacentral:rRNA from 1 species